UACGAAGGGGGCUAGCGUUGCUCGGAAUCACUGGGCGUAAAGCGCACGUAGGCGGGUUCUUAAGUCAGGGGUGAAAUCCUGGAGCUCAACUCCAGAACUGCCUUUGAUACUGGGAAUCUCGAGUCCGGGAGAGGUGAGUGGAACUGCGAGUGUAGAGGUGAAAUUCGUGGAUAUUCGCAAGAACACCAGUGGCGAAGGCGGCUCACUGGCCCGGUACUGACGCUGAGGUGCGAAAGCGUGGGGAGCAAACAGG
rnacentral:rRNA from 1 species